rnacentral:rRNA from 1 species
CGCUGGCGGCGUGCUUACACAUGCAAGUCGAACGGGAUCCGGCCAAGCUUGCUUGGCCGGUGAGAGUGGCGAACGGGUGAGUAAUGCGUGACCGACCUGCCCCGUGCUUGGGAAUAGCUCCUGGAAACGGGUGGUAAUGCCCAAUGCUCCGCCCGGCCUCAUGGCCGGUCGGGAAAGCUUUGGCGGCACGGGAUGGGGUCGCGUCCUAUCAGCUUGUUGGUAAGGUAACGGCUUACCAAGGCUUCGACGGGUAGCCGGCCUGAGAGGGCGACCGGCCACAUUGGGACUGAGAUACGGCCCAGACUCCUACGGGAGGCAGCAGUGGGGAAUAUUGCACAAUGGGCGCAAGCCUGAUGCAGCGACGCCGCGUGCGGGAUGGAGGCCUUCGGGUUGUAAACCGCUUUUGUUCACGAGCAAGGCAUUCUUUUUGGGUGUUGAGUGUAGUGUUCGAAUAAGCACCGGCUAACUACGUGCCAGCAGCCGCGG